UUGAUUGUGCGUUUAUUAAACACAUAGCCUAUUUUUAAAUAUUUCAUUUUCCUUCUUGACUAGUAUGAGGGUACUACCAACUUUCUACAAGGUCAUGUGGGGAAGAGCAAAUGCUUGUAAUCUGAGCUGGAGCAGUUUUCCGGUUCCUGGGAGAGUUGAGCAGAAGGUCCGGGAUCUCGUGUGCCUCCUGUCCCACCACUCUCAGCGCCCUGUACCAGCACGAGUCCCAGGAAAAGCUGUGGGCCUUUUCACUAGAUGAAAGUAUCUACAGGGGACUCAUGGACUCUGGUGGACUUGGAGGGUUUCUAAACAAUGCCCAAGAAUAAAAGCCGUUACCAUGUUUAUGAGUUUGUGUAGUGCUGUUGCUCCCCUCUGGAAUACAAAGAGCCGGGGUAGUAGAACAUGAGGAACCCAGGCAGACAGAGCCUGCUGAAUGAAUUAGUAACUGUGGUGUUCGAGUUGUGAAUGAGCCCUGAACACUCCGAGACAGAUGCAUCACUUCCUGGAGGAGAGCCGAGUCCUGUGAGUGCAUCUUCGCACCAGAAACUGUGAGCUUUCGCUGUCUACAGUGGGGACAUACUUUCCAACCGCUUUGUUUGUGACACAGAAGGAUUCAGUCUGGUUCAUAGCUCCUAAGUGUCUCCAAGGAGGACAUGAAAAGUUCCCCCGGAGUCAGGCACGGUGGUGCACACCUCUAAUUCUGGCACCCGAGAGGCAGAAUCAGGGGAGUCAAGAGUUUGAGGCUAGCCUGGGCUACAUAGUGAGAGUCUCAGAAAGAAGACCAACAAAACCCCCAGGUUUAGCUAGUAAAGUAAAUGUGCCCUACUAGGGUUUGUCUCAUGGAGAUCCUGUUUUUCACAAACUGCUUCUGUAAAUUUUCUUUUCUUCUAUGUAUGCCUUUACCAUCCACUUAGAAGAUCAUUCUGGAGACGACCAAUUAUUGAUGGACUUCCUCUGUUGGACACUCACAUUGGAGCAUCAGUUUGACGGUCUCAGGGCUAAAGCAAUCUCUUUGCAGAACUGUCAUCUGUACUCAUAACCCAGUUUAACGCCCCUGCCCCCCCUACCUGCCCCUCCCAACUUCCCCCCCCCUCCAUUGGUUUUGAGUACAGAGUUGCUGAGUGCGUGGUAGAAGUAGUAAGCUCUGAGCUGACAGCAUUCUUCUCUGGAUUGUUGAAUGAUGUAAAUGUAGCUGAAAGUAGGAACAGGGUCCCAGUACUCUUUUGUACACAACAGCUAUUAAAAUUUUUUUUUUAGUUUUUAAAAUUUUUAUUUGUGUAUCUACGCGUAUGCUGUUAUGACGUGUGUCCGGAUGCCUGCAGAGGUCAGAAGUGGGUGCUGAUUCCAUUGGUGCUGAAGUUAUAAGUGGUGGUGAGCAGCCCGACAUGGGUGCUAGGAACUGAAGUAGGGUCCUCUGAAAGAGCAACGAGUGCCAAUAACCUCGGAGCCAUCUCUCCAGCCCAACAAUACCAAUUUGUAUAUCUCACGAAAGAGGUCAAAAAGCGUCAGACUCUUUUCCUCCUAGUCUCUUUCCUUCGCUGUCCCCAUGCCUCAGUUCCCAGAGCUCUGUUCAAUAGCAAGCAUAAUGGUCACUACUGAUUUGCCACAAUGUUUAGGAACAGACCAUUCCUUUCGUGGAAAUCUCUGACAUUUUAUUAUGUUUGGCUCUUAAUUUGAAUGACUAUAACCCUAUCUCAGUGUCAGAAAAAUGGUCUGUUUCCUUUUAUGAUAGAGUAUCUUUUAUGUAUUUUUUGACAGUUUCAUACAUGUAAAGAAAAUGCAUCUUGAUCAUAGGCACCCCAACUUCCCCUUCUACUCCUCCAGGAACCCCCACCUCUUCCCUCUCCCCUUCUUGUCCUCUCUUUUUGGUUAAUAACCAACCGGGUCCACUUGGUGCUGCCCAUUGGGGAUGCUGACUGGUCUUGUUAACUUGGUCUUGUACAAGUAACCGUAACUGCAGUGGGUUCAUGAGGGCAAGGGCCAGGUCAUGACCUGAGACAGCAUUUCACAGCUCUCCCCCACAUCCUCUGGUUCUUGUUUUCCACCCUUCUUCUUCAGUGUUCCCUGAGCCUUGAUGGGCGGGGCUUGAUACAGGUAUCCCAUUUAGGGCAGACACUCAGUAGACACCUGCUCAGCACUAUGGUCAAUUAUGAGUCUGUAUUAACGGCUGCCCACUGGAGAGAGAAGCUUCCCUGGCCACAGUCAGCAGCAGCACUAACCUAUGGGUAUAAGCAGGUUUUCUUUCUAACAAAUACAAAGGUAGGUAGAAUAGUGUAACAAACUUAGAUAAUAUUUUACCAGUGGCUGAUACAUGGCCGAUGCUGUUCGUCCGCACCCCUGCCUAAUCCUCUUUGCCUUGGAACUGUGUGUGUUGAAGCAAAUUCCAGAUGCAUUAUCUCAUCUGUAAAUACUUCAUAUAUUGAAGAUAAAGAACUCUGUAAACAUAUCCAAAUACCAGCAUCGUGAAAAAUGAAUGGUUCUUGAUAUCAAAUACCUAAUGAGCAUUCACAGUUCCUUAGUUGUCUCAUAAUUUGUUUUGGUUUUGGUUUUUGAGAGUGUUUCACGGUGGAGAUCAGGCUGGCCUUGAAUUUUUGUUCUUGUUUUUCAAGACAGGGUUUCUCUGUGCAGCCCUAGCUGUCCAGAACUAUCUCUGUAGACCAAGUUGGCCUCGAACUCUCAGAGAUCCACCUGCCUAUGCCCUCUCCCCCGAGUGCUGGAAUUAAAGGCGUGCACCACCACCGCUCACUGGCCUUGAUUUUUAAUGCCCCUGUCUCUUCACGUAACUCAUCCAACCACUUAGAACUUGUUUUUGUUGCUUGUUAAUUGAGUUGGGGUUCUGUAAGGAAUGUAUGUGGAGGUUGGUUGAUAUAUUACUUAAGUUUUUGACCUUUGGAAUUCCUCCUUUCUGCUUUUUAUUAUCUUUUCUUUGCUGUUUUUGUCACUGUUGUCUUGGUAAAGAAACUGGAUCGUGUGUCUUUUGCAGUUUUUUAUGAUCUGGGUUUUGUGGACUCUGAUAACUUUAAGGAAAUAAAAGUAAAAGUGAGUCAUGUUUUUA